CUGAAAUGAAUGAACAGAAAAAUACAGAAGUCAAUAAGGCUAACUGGAUGAUAUCUCAAUGGUAUGUUUGCUUAUCAACUGACCAUAAAAUGGACAAAUUUUCCUGAAGAUCUAACAGUGAAAAGGAGAGUCAAUCUAUGCAAUCAUAAAAGUUCUUAUAAGUGGAAUAAGGCAGAACUGGGGUAGAGACAGGGAUUUGGCAAUAUGAAAAGGAUCUGGCCUGAUGUCCUGGGCUUUGAAGACAGAGGAAUGACACCACAAGGCUGAAGGGAAUUACUGGGGAAUUGAAUUACUUUGCUGAAGGGCUACACAAUUCUUGGGCAAAACUGGCUGGUAUCUUAUUAGCAUAGAAAAAGAUGCCCAUCAAAGUAACUUCAAUUUGCAAAUAAAACACUGAU